AACACUCUCUCUCUUCUCUCCCCCUCAUUUCGCCACCCUCCCUACUCUCUCUCCCUCUCACUCUUUUCUCUCUCUACCUCCAUUGUUAACCAAGUUCCAAGCUUCAUAGAUCAUUUCUAUGUUAUAAUCUCCACCAAAAUCAAAGUAUAAACUUCAUAAUCCUUGAAUCAAGAGCAACUUUGGAAUAUUUUAAAGCUUGAAGUCAAGAACGAGGAAUUUUAUUUUCUACUCAAGAAUCAUUGAGUAAGUGCUAGAUCUACUUAGAUCUAUAUAUUUGAGUUAGAUAUGAGUAUAUAUUGAUAGAUCAAGUAGAAAACAUCACCCACUUCAUUCUUGCAAUUUUCAAAAUUAGGGUUCAUACCCCUUCAAAAAUUCAUCAUCUAAUCUUAAAUUGAGAUUAUAUUCAUGCUAUUGAGAUCCUAUUUAGUCCAUUUUACAUGCAAAGCAUGAAUUUAAAAUGAUAAAUGAAUGUUUGAAUAAGUUAAUUACAUGAUCUAGAAAGGUUGAAGUUAUGGAUGAAUUGUUGAUUUGAUUAUGAAUAUGAGCUAGUGAGAGUGUUGAGAUGAUAUUUGAUGGACGAAAAUGAUGAUUAAAGGUGUUUGAUGAAGAUUGAAGUGAGUUAGUUUGAUGAAAAAUAGGGUAUAGUUGGCUAUAUGCUUGAUGAAGUUAGCAAGUUGAUGAGUUAUUUUGAAAACCUUUAAAAAGCUACUGACUUGAUGAAUUUCAACAGGGUUCUUGAUACCCAAAAAUCUUGAAACUUUUAUGGUGCGUAUAUCAGAGUGUUAAAAUGCAAAACGCCAAUUGCAACUUUCUACCGAAAGUUUGGAAGAACAGACCUUAGAGUCACCCUUUUCAGUAGCUUCCCCUAAUUUUUUGCUUGCCGACCUUUUAUGGUAAAGAGAUUAAUGUGUUGUCUAACUACCCACAAAAUUUCAAGUCAUUUCGGCAAUGUUUACUAUUUUUCAAAAAUCAAAUUCUCCAGUUGCACGAAACUGCCGAAUAUGGUAGACUGUGGGAGAACGGUCAUAUCUCUUAAACCACUUGGAGUUUUUCAACCUACUUUUUUUAAAAUGAAACUAGACUUCAAAGAGGUUUCCAAUAGUAUGAGUCUCGAACCCAGGAGAGUUCUGAGGAGAAACAGUUUAUUCUCUUAAGUUAAGGCAGUGCAGAAAGAGUGAAUUGAAUAAGAUUUUGAUUAUGAGAUGAGAUAUGAAUUAAAGAUGCCUAUAUGUGGCUUAGUGAAGAUGAAUUGAGCUUAUACAUGAAAAAUGUAAUAAAAUGGCAUAACUUGUUUAUGUGAGUUAAUUUUUGAAUAAUUGGUUUAAGAAUGAUUUAUAAAAUAGAUUUUUGGGAAAUUUCCCCGACUAAAAAUAUUUUAUUUUUUUUUUCAAAAAUGAGUUGUGUAUGUGAUUGCUAUGUGCUUAUGGAUUGUUUAUCUAUGAGUUGUUCCUUGACAGAGCCUAGACCUAAAUUAGGUGAUAAGUCGAGAAUAGAAUAGUGAUUACUUAGAAAGUGUUUACGAUAUGAGAUCGAGUCAGACGGAGUGUAGAAAUGAGAAGUAAUGAAAUAAUACUAAGAUAGAAUGAUAUUCUUAGUAAGGAAGUUUCUGACAUCCUUUAUUUAACCAUGAACUAAUCCCAUGGAAUUUGAAGAUACCAGAAGAGGACGGAAGUAAGUCCACCCCGAACGCUACGAGAGUAAGCUAAGGACAUCAGGUGGGCAUUAUUUUUACUAUACGUAUAUAGAGAUCCCCUGCGUAUCGUAGGCCUCUUAUACGAAAUGAAGUAAAUGAUGUGAUUUAACUGUAAAUUUCAGUUUGAUGAAAAUUAUUACUGAUGAUGAUGUUUAUGAGUUUGAUAAAUAAUUUGAGAUUUAUUGAUGUUGAACUAAUUGACUUGCCGAGUUUUGAUGACGACGAGCCUGUAUGUCACCCUCUACUGAUGAGACGAAUUCGGAUCCUGCCACAAGCGGGAUUGUGUACACAGAGGUGAUCGUGAGCUGUCCUUUGGGUCGGCCGGUCACGGUACUUGAGAAGGAGGCCUACUUCUCAGUACCUUUAUGAUGAUGAUUUGUAGAUGUGGUACAUACAUAACGAGAAUUUUGACCGGUCAUUUAUUUAUGAUGUUUAUGAUUGUUAACUGCUUACACGGGUUCUUUUGAGUAAAAUCCCCGUGUAUUGCUUAUGUGGCAAGUUCAAUCUAUAGCUCUAAGAGCUAGUUUUCAUUGAUUUUCGGCUUAUGUCCACUGAGUAUUCUGUACUCAGCCCUGCAUGUAUUUCUAAACGUGCAGGAUAAGCGAGGAGGGAGAUUGGACUGGUGCUGGCAGGGAUUUUGUUUCAGAUAAUCUUCAUUAUACCGUAAUUAUAUUCCUUGCGGUAACAUCAAGAUGUUGAAGUUUAUUUUGAACUUAAUCAAGAAAUUUACUCUCGGCUAUAUGUCUUCAUACAUAUAGUCUUUUCGUAUUUUGCUGCGAUACUCUGUAUAUCCCGAGUCAUUGUGAGUAAUUAGCUAUGUCUACUUUGUAAAGGUUGACAAGAAUCUCAAUAAUUUAAAAGUUAUAAAGCCAAUAAUAUUUUUAUUGAUGAUGAUGUCAUCUUUCUUGAUUUAUCACGUUUCAGUGAUUGCUUCCGCUUGACGUGCAAUCUAGUUUUGUCUUUUGACCUUAUUAAUAUAUUUAGUCGUAUCGAUACCCGGUUUACGCUAUCACUGGCUAGGCGUCGGGCUGCGACAUAUUCUUAUUUUACUUUUAAUAUGUGUUUCUUGAUUGUGCAAAGAAUUUGAGUUUUAUUGCAACACGAUUGUAAGUAUGUAAAACGUGAUUUGUCCGGUAGAUGCUAGAAGGAGUGUUGUCAUUGUGAUUGCCUACGAUCGUAUCCUUAUCUGUGAAUAAUGCUGGACGAAUUGCCAUUUCUAAAAAUGUCAGCUCUGAAACAUAUGGCCAGCUCUGAAACGUGACAGCUCUGAGUCUCUGCUCCUCUGGUCUAACUAUGAGCAUGGGAAACCACGUGAAAAGACUUUGGAUUACAUCCAAAUGGUUUUUAUUUCAUGAAUUAUGGCUCAACUGUCCAAAAACUUAAGCACACAAAGUGUAAAAAAAAUGGUGAUAUUGAUUAUAAAGGCGAUCACAUUAGGGAAUUCACUUCUAGCGGAGAAUUGGGUAUGAUCGAAUUACUUGCAUUACUGUUUUGUUGCUUCGUAAACUUUAAGUUACUUGCAUGAUCAAGAGAUGUGUGUUGAUUGUAAAAUUUUGAAUUGACUUUGUGAAUGUUUGGAUGGAAAUAAGCAUCGUUGAAAUCAAUCUCUUCCUAAGAUUCAUAUUGAUUUUGCUUGAGGACAAGCUGAUUUAUGCUUAAUUGUUCUAAAUUUUGGGGUUUGCAUGUACUUUUUAAGUUAAAUCUUCUGAAAUGGUGCGUUUUAUGGUUAUUUUAUGCUUUUCGGAGAUUUAGUUUCGAGAUGAAAGUGCAAAUUUUGGAGAUUUGGGCUAAGAAUUACGUUUUUGUGCAUGCUCUGGCACGUCAGAGAAGUGAAGCCCCGCAUGCCAGAGCAGCGAAAAGGGAAGCCAGAGAAAUGCUCCAGAUCCAGAGAAGUCAUUCGCCAGAGCAGCGAAAUCACUAGUCAGAGAAGUCAUAAGCCAGGCCAGAGAAAUCAAUAUCCAGUGCAGCGAAAUCGAAAACGCCAGAGGAAUAUAAGCGCCAGCGGAAUCGCCAUCAGAGAAACCGGAGCCAGAGCGGAACCGUUCCUGGCGAGAGCCCGAUUUCCGCCAGGGUGGAGAUUAUUUCAGAGCGCGCGACACAGCUGGAAGUUGCCUUUCUUCACGAUUCUAUUGCCUUUAGAGUUCUACUUUGCAUGGCAACUUCCAUGGUGAUCCAUAGGGAUUCGAAGUCUAUAAAUAGGGCCAUACUUUUCAUUGUAAGAUCAUCGCUUGCCCUAGUUUUAGACGCCAUCUUUGCGAUCUGUUGGCAUCCGAAGCUUAGGAUUUACUUGCUUUCAUAGUUCUUUAUAGUUUUCAGAUUCAUUGUUUUAAGUUAGAUUUCAAUUCAGUUUUUAGUUUAUUCUUGGAUUGUGAUUGAGUGACACAAUUACAUGUUCAAGACGUUUACGGUAUUUCGUAUUUCAAUUCAAUUUAUUUCGUUUAAUCAUGUUUACGUUUUUCAUUCAAGUUCAUGCUUUCUUUUUAAUUAUGCAAUUUAAAUUAUGCACUUUAGUUUCACGCCUAGAUUAGAAGUCUUUAAAUUUACAAGUAUUUAAUUUCUUAAGUUAGGUUUAAUUUGAGUUGUUUAAAUUCUUGCCUAGGUUAAGUUUAAAUUCAAGUCAAGUUUAAUUUAAGUUUAAGUUUCAGUUUUUAAAUCAAAAUCUUUACUGCUUCCUUUUAUUGCUUUUUCCUACGAUACUACUAAGAGCCCUUAAAGACUUUCCUUGAGAGAUGACAUUGGGUCAACUUACCAUCACUAGGAUGUCCUUGUUCUAUUGCAAGUCAACUUAGAGGUGUUUCUAGUUGAGUCACAAGCAAAAGGCUAAGUGUGGGGGGUUGAUCAUGUGCAUAUUUAAGUUGAAUCUUCUGGAAAUUUGUGCGUUUUAUGGUUUGUUUUAUGCUUUGCAGGAGAUUUAGGUUUUAUAGAUGGAAGAGUGUAAUUUUGGAGAUUUUGGGUUUAGAAUGGCGUUUUUAAGAACACUCUGGUGUACAGAGCUGAAAAGCCCACGCCAGAGCUGAAAAGCCGCGCCAGAGCUGAAAAGCCCGCUGCAGAGCAGAGCAGAGAAGCUCGCCAGAGCAGAGCNUAGUUUUUAUUGAUUUUCGGCAUAUGUCCACUGAGUAUUCUGUACUCAGCCCUGCAUGUAUUUCUAAACGUGCAGGAUAAGCGAGGAGGGAGAUUGGACUGGUGCUGGCAGAGAUUUUGUUUCGGAUGAUCGUCAUUAUACCGUAAUUAUAUUCCUUGCGGUAACAUCAAGAUGUUGAGGUUUAUUUUGAACUUAAUCAAGAAAUUUACUCCCGGCUAUAUGUCUUCAUACAUAUAGUCUGUUCGCAUUUUGCUGCGAUACUCUGUAUAUCCCGAGUCAUUGUGAGUAAUUAGCUAUGUCUACUUUGUAAAGGUUGACAAGAAUCUCGAUGAUUUAAAAGUUAUAAAGCCAAUAAUAUUUUUAUUGAUGAUGAUGUCAUCUUUCUUGGUUUAUCACGUUUCAGUGAUUGCUUCCGCUUGACGUUCGAUCUAGUUUUCUCUUUUUACCUUAUUAAUUUAUUUAGUC
rnacentral:lncRNA from 1 species